rnacentral:rRNA from 1 species
AUUGAACGCUGGCGGCAGGCUUAACACAUGCAAGUCGAGCGGAGAGAGGUAGCUUGCUACUGAUCUUAGCGGCGGACGGGUGAGUAAUGCUUAGGAAUCUGCCUGUUAGUGGGGGACAACAUUUCGAAAGGAAUGCUAAUACCGCAUACGUCCUACGGGAGAAAGCAGGGGAUCUCCGGACCUUGCGCUAAUAGACGGGCCUAAGUCGGAUUAGCUAGUUGGUGGGGUAAGGGCCUACCAAGGCGACGAUCUGUAGCGGGUCUGAGAGGAUGAUCCGCCACACUGGGAAUGAGACACGGCCCAGACUCCUACGGGAGGCAGCAGUGGGGAAUAUUGGACAAUGGGCGCAAGCCUGAUCCAGCCAUGCCGCGUGUGUGAAGAAGGCCUUAUGGUUGUAAAGCACUUUAAGCGAGGAGGAGGCUACUUUAGUUAAUACCUAGAGAUAGUGGACGUUACUCGCAGAAUAAGCACCGGCUAACUCUGUGCCAGCAGCCGCCGUAAAAC